UACGAAGGGGGCUAGCGUUGCUCGGAAUUACUGGGCGUAAAGCGCACGUAGGCGGCUCUUUAAGUCGGAGGUGAAAUCCUGGAGCUCAACUCCAGAACUGCCUUCGAUACUGAAGAGCUCGAGUCCGGGAGAGGUGAGUGGAAUUCCUGGUGUAGCGGUGAAAUGCGCAGAUAUCAGGAGGAACACCAAUGGCGAAGGCAGCUCGCUGGGACGGUACUGACGCUGAGGAGCGAAAGCGUGGGGAGCGAACAGG
rnacentral:rRNA from 1 species